GACAACCCCACCUCCUGACGUCACGACCUCAGGCUCCGCCUACUUCUUAUCACACCUCCCCUGGCGUUGAUCUAAAUGGCUCCCGGGAGUCUCAUCUCCUCCCACCUCUCGCUGUCGCCCGGGUGUCCAGUUGUAUCGCGAGACUUCGCCCCACUCUUAGGCGGGUCGCGCGAUAGUUCUUCCCUUUCUUCCGAACGGUUGGAGAGAGGUAGGCCGUUUUCUGCGCGGUGCCGUGUUGGAGCGGGAGGCUGCUGGGUGCUAGGUACAGACUUCAGGGACACUUCCGCCGCGUCAACCCGAGGCUUCUGGCCCGAGGCCUGGGCUGAAGUGCUUACUGGCGUUUGCUUCCUACCAGUCUGGUGGGCGGGGGAGAGGCCGCUGAUCUAGUUUUCCUCGGGACCACCGCGUAGUUUGGGGAAAUCGAGCGCUGGAAAUCAGGCCCUGAGGGUGGAGGGCUUCCCCGGGCCUAAUGGCCGGACAGAGUCCCGAACAAUCGCGGUUAUCGCCUGUGGGCCUGUUUCGUUGGUCUGGUAUGUAGCUGUUAAGAUGUAUGCCAAACGCCGGCAUGUUUCUGACGCCAGUUUUUGGCGUGCGGUUAGGUGUUCCCGGAGGCCUAGCCGAAGGUCACCCGGUUGUGAGUGGUCGUGGGGGUGCUCUGUGUUAGAUCUGGCCGAGCGCUCUAGCUUGCCACGUGGCGUCGAAGAACCGCAAAAUCCCUGGAUGGGAAGACAAGUACGAAUGCUAGUUGAGCAGGUUCUGAUAAAGUGACUUAAAUUAGCUUUAUUUUGGUGAGUGCUCGGUGUGUGUGUGUGUGUGUGUGUGUGUUUUAAUUCCAGGUAUACUGUCAGGGUCCAUUGGAUCCAAAUUUUUUGGGUUUUGAUUUGGAGCAGUUGGUACUUCAUAGCUUAUUAGCGGUUUUAGAAUUUUGCAUUUAAAAAAUCUUUAAAAAUUCUGUUUUGAGAUUACCGCAUGGGUCCGUUGGGCAGUUUCACAAGUUUCUAGAUUGCAGCACUUAUUGUUUCCCUAGACUUGGAACAUUUUGCUGUUUUAUCAUGACAAUUUAUUGCAUCGUUACGCAGUUUGUCGAUUUCCAAGUACGCUGAAGACUUGUUCUUUGUUGCCAUCUGAGACCCCAUGUGUUCAGAGUAGAACUGUGCUCCCUGUGGUUUUCAGGCUCCUCUGGGUGGGUUUCUCCCACUAUCCUUUUGGCUAGUAGAGCACUUGAGAGUUUGUCACCCAGGGACUCCUAUGUGCUAAAAUAAUACAAAAAUAGAAUGAUGGCAUCCUGUAAGGAAGAUGAGCUUAGGAAAUCAUUCAGUUUUUCAAUUGCAUUAUAUGUGAAGUAUUGUAAAAUGACAAAAACCAAAUCAAACUCAUUUCGAAUCCAGUCGAUUGUGAUUCAUAACAAUCCUAUAGGACAGUAGAACUGCCUCGUUGAGUUUCCAAGGAGCGGCUGGUGGAUUCGAACUGUCAGCCUUUUGGUUAGCAGCUGAGUUAUUAACGGCUGCGCCACUAGGGCUCCACAAAAGACACUAAAAUCCACUGCCAUGGAGCCGAUUCUGACUCCUAGCGACCCAGUAGGGUUUCCUGUAAAUCUCUAGGAGGCUGACUGCUAUGUCUUAAUUCCGCAGAGCUACUGCUGGUUUCAAACUGCCAAUGUUUUGGUUAGCAGUUAUCACCAUAACCACUUCGCCACUAGGGCUCCUUCAGUAGUCUGUUUUAGCCUUUCAUUGAAAGAAAUGAAAAUUCACAAUUCUCAGUUUCUGUGCAUGAAGACAACAUGGGAACGUUUACCAAAAAAAGGUUUCAUAAUUACUUAAUGUUAAGAGACCAUAAGUGAAGUCCCAGACCAGAUGUUGAAAAUGGUGAUGGAAUCCAGGUGUAAAUGGUGAUGACUUUUUCCUGGUGUACUGAGGCCUAUUGAACCACAGUCUACCUUCUGGCAGUUUUUCCUAGGAGUUCCUAUCUAUCUUGGGAAAUAACCUUUUGGCUAUUAAUUGUAUAUUACUCAUGGCUCCUGGUGAAAUUACAGUUUUUAUUGGUAAUUAGAAUGACGUUGGAUGCUUUUGCUGGGAAUGACAGUACUUUUCUGGAUGGUAUCUUGUACCAUUGAAUAGAUUUGGAAAGACAGAAUAGAACCUGUCAGUGCAAUUUCUCAUUUUUAGAGUUUGAUGUGAAACUGUUUUCUAGAUGAGAAGCUUUUAAAGGCCUGUUCAAUCAAGUGAUUGUGCCUAAAUUCACAGCUAAUGGUGUAAAGUACUUCAAAAUUUCCGGUAUUAAGAUACUUGCUAUCUAUGUGCUGAAGUUUAGUGUUUAUUCAGGGAAGCUAUAUCACAUCUACUGAAUUUAUAUUUUCAGAAAUUUAUCCCCUUAAAGCAAGGAACGGGUGAUGGAUAAAACAGUCUGACUUGAGGGACUUGGAGUAUUUAUCUAAGGAAUGGAUUCUCCCAGCUACACAAUGACAUCUGAUUUAGCUACUGCUGUAGAAAUUGAGGAUCAUAGUGAUAACUCUGAAUCUUCUGGUAGCAGCUUAUUUAAAACUCAGUGUGUUCCUUCCUCACCUAAGCGGAGGCAGGAAAACCCUCUAAGGACUUUUGUUCAUUCAUCUGAAGGUGUUCAGGCAAGAGAUUCAUCAAGCGAUUCCUAUGUGGAACCAAGACCGUUGACUUUAAAAGCAGUUUUUGAGAGAUAUAAGGAAAGGAAACGUAAAAAAAAGAGAAAAUAUAAGCCAACAGGAAGACCAAGGGGAAGACCAAAAGGAAGGAAAAGCACUAAAAGCUCACAAAUAGACAAAAAACAAUUAAAAAAUAAAGGAUCUGCUUUCCUGUUUUUAGAAUCAGAGAAUGGAAGAAACCCACUUCCUUGGAAAAAAAUUUUAACCUUUGAGCAAGCUGUAGCAAGAGGAUUUUUCAACUACGUUGAAAAACUAAAGUAUGAAUACCACCUCAAGGAAUCUUUGAAACAAAUGAAUGUUGGUGAAGAUUUAGAAAAAGAAGAUCUUGAUAGUCGUAGAUACAAAUACUUAGAUGAUGAUGGGUCCAUAUCUCCUAUUGAAGAGUCAGUGGCUGAGGAUGAGGAUACAACUCAUCUUGGACAUAGUGAUGAAUGUGAUAUCAAGUUGGUGGAGGACACUUAUUUCAUAAUAAGUUGUGAAUUACCAAAGAAGAGGAAGGCAAAUUUAGGUGAAGAAAAUAGCGAAGACACUGCAUGGAUUUCAGAGGCCAAAAGAUUGGACAAAAAGGACAGAAUGACCUGAAAUAGAGAUAGGAAUAUCAAUGUCAAACAAGGCUUUUGUCUUGAGAGCCUGAUGUGUGAAGUUGAGGUAUGUCUAAUACUUUAGGUACUAGUUUUUUUUCUUUAUUGAUUAGCUUUGUCUAAAUGUAGUACAUUGUCAGGUAAUUUAAACAUACACUGGUUUCAUUUUACUAGAAGACCUUUGGUUUCCUUUUAUUUCUAUGUAUAAUACUGAUUUCAGGAAGUGAUCAGUAAAGCUUCCUAAUAAAAUGGUAUCGUCUUGAUUUUAUGAGAGCUCUAAAUGAAAGAAUUACAGGAAAGGGUCCUUAAAGCUCUAAGUUAGGCUCCAUGUUUUUGUGAGAUAGGAGCUGUAACAAGAAUCAGAACCUUUAGGAGAUGUAGAAUAAUGCGAGAAAUGAUUGCAAAGGUAACUUCUUUAAUCUGAAUAAUUUAGAAGUAAUUAAAAUUCCUGCACUGGGCAGAGGGCACCAUGGGCAAAUCCUACCUUCAUUGCUAACUGGUAAGGAUCAGCAUGAAUCUCAGUUCGCACCCUCCCUCCCCUUCCCACAUCUGCAUCAUGAGCAGCUCCAUGCGUGUGGCACUGUCAUCCUCAGCCACCCGACUAGGUCAGCAGAUCCUGACUACCACGUCAGUAGCCCACAUGACCCCCUCAACUUCAGAUCAGCUGGCUCCCAAAUUUGGGGUUUUCUUUACCCUUCAGGGUACCAUCCAUAAAUUUAGGGGUCCCCAGCUCUGUAACUUGUGGCCUGCUGGCUCCCAGUGUCCUGUGAGCUCAAUAAUUACCUGGAGCGACUCACAGAAAUCACCAAGAGUAUUUAUAUUUAGUUUAGUUGUCUAUGGGAACCUUGGUGGCGUAGUGGUUAAGUGCUACAGCUGCUAACCAAAGGGUCAGCAGUUUGAAUCCACCAGGCGCUCCUUGGAAACUAUGGGGCAGUUCUACUCUGUCCUAUAGGGUCACUAUGAGUCAGAAUUGACUCAGCGGCACUGGGUUUGGUUUGGUUUUAGUUGUCUUAUAACCAGAAAGAAGGGUAAGGUCUGGGAUGGGUCCCAGCACAGAGCUUCCAAGUCCCUGAAGCACACAUUCACUCUCCAACCUAGAAGCUCCCUCUGAGUCUCCCAUGGUCUAGGGCUUAUAUAAGCCAUGACACAUGGUUUUUUUUUGUCAGUUACCUGUGAGACCUCCUUGGGGCUCAGUGAAAUCCAUCCCCUAAGUUGCAAAAAUUAAGGUCAAAAGGACAAGGGGACUCAUUGCACCAUAAUCACCUAACUUGUUCUAUUGGUCUUGACAGUGAUUUCCAAUCCAAUAACUGAGGAGAAAACAUUUUAUGUAGUUCUUGAGGCAAGAAGGCAGUUUGAAUAAGUAUUUCUCUGGAAAUCUCAAAAGAAUUCAUUUUAUACGUUUCCUGUGGUUCAUCUACAGCAGCUACUCUGGUACUCUGUAUAAUUUUCCUUUUGAUAAUAGUAACUCUUACCUUGUGAUUUCUGAGGAUUGAGUUCUUCCUUGUGAUUAUUUUCACGGAUCAGGCUAGUGCAGAUCACAGUUCUUAAAAUGGCUUUCCUUUGUAGAUUGUUUAUAAAUCACAGUAGUUGAGGUCUAUCCCGAUGGGGCUUUUCCUAUAGACCCACAUCGUUGGAAACGCCUCAUAGAGUAACUAUGUGGUUUUGCUUUACUCACAGAACUAUUUGUUGGAUCUGUGGGAAGGAACUACAAGACAGAAAGCUGAUGAAAGUAGGAAAGAUCUCUAGUAAUUUUUUUUUUUACCUUAGGUAUUGCUAUAUCCUGCAGAUGUAGUUUUCUUGGAGAUUACUUUUAGGUAAGUUUUAACUGGUGAGAAGUGUCAUCUUUUGGUAUAUUGUUACAGUUCACAUGAUGAAUUUAACUGUUCAACUGCUGAAUGAUUCAUACAUGAACUAAACUGCAUUCUGACUGAGCUGGCUAGGUACAGCUGAAAGAGGGCCUGUACCUGGGUACUGAACUUACGUCCAGGGUUUAGUUUUCACAGGAACUUGAAACACUUAAGGUGUUCUAAACCUUACACUCGGUAUUGUCUCCAUAGGCGUAGGAUUACAUUCAACUCGUUCAUGGUAGAGGUAAGUGGAAUAUUUUAAUCUAUUUGGAAAUGUAAUGAGUCCAGAUUUCUGAAAAAAUAAAUUCUAAGUACAACAUGCCAUUACCGUUGUAACUAGGAAUUAUUAUUAUAGGGAUAAAAUACAGAAUCAAAACCUUGGCAAAAAUAUUGGCUACAAUAUUUGUAUAUGUAGAAUGAAAUAAACAAGAGGUUGCAUGUUGAGGCUAUCAAAUGCUGAAGCCUGAGUCAAUAUUGAGUUAGCAGAUGAAAUUCUUUUUUGUGCCUUUUUCAGGUUGCAGCUUCAUAUCGUUUCUCCUAAUACCAUGCAUACUUGGAUAUGUUUGAUUCAGUUAGGGAUGAUGAAUUGCUUUAAAGCAGUUCUGAUUAAUAGCACAAUUGAGCAACAGUGAAUUGACACCGCCAGUGUAUUGUUUCUUUUAGUGAUCUGACUUAAUUGCUAUGUAAGUUAAAUAUAGGAGACAAGAUUAAGAUUACUAGUGACAAGGUCGAUAGUUUAAAAUGCAGCAAUAUUUCCUUUUGGAAUAAUAAUUGGGAAUAAAGGUUAAAUUGUGUACCUGUUAGAGGAACUUUGGGUUUUUAAGAGAUGUGUGAAAGUAAGCUUAUUUCUGAAAGGAGUAGCACUGGAGACUUCGGGAAGUGAGUGGGUUGUAGUUGAAUCGCUGCACUGCAUGGUAUCUGCAUUCAGCAGUUCACUCCUGCUGGGAUGUUCCAAGGACAGUGCGACAGAAAUUCAGUAGCUGGCAUCGUUGGUUUUCUUGGCUUUGUGCAUGUUAAACCUGGUAUUUCUAUUGGUACAGUUUAUAUAGUUAAAUACUGCCAAGUUGGUUAUAAUCUUCAUUAGGAACUAAUUAUUUUCUUUUUCUAGGAUGUCUGAAAUUAAGAGUAAGGCAGAAUCUAUGUACACGGAUCCUAAAAUGGCCCUGAAGUGAAUGAAUAGUUUGAAGAAAUUCUAGGUGACAGACUUUUGAAGUACAUCAGUAUGUCCAUAUUUAAUUGGAAAUUAAAGCAGCCCAACUAAAAGAAAAUUCUGACAGUCUGAGAUCUGGUGUGGAUUGUGGCUUGGACAACACAGUCAGUCCAAGUAAAAAGUUCCUGAUCACUGCAUAGUAGUUAUCUCUGGAAAUCUUUGUAUUGACAACAGUGGACUAACAUGGGUUCUUCUAAAAAGGGCUGUCUUGAAGAUCAAUCUUAUUGAUGCAAGCUUCCUGAGGAACUAAGGUGACCUUGAUUGAUGAAAGACAACAUGUAAAACUCAUUAUAUAAAAUUUAUUAACAUUAAAUAAUUUUUGCCUAAUGCUACACGUAAUAAAAACUUUUACAUUGCAGAAAGUCAGCCUGUAGCUUUGGCUCGAAGUUUCUCCAGUGUUUUCUGUGGAGAGAAUAAAACUUAAUUAGAAGUUGCUAUUAUGGUCUGUCUACCUUAGAAAAAAUUGGAGGGGAGACAACUCACUUUAUGAAAUUCUCUUGCCCUUGCCCUAUUUUGGGCAUAAGCUUCUUUUCUUGCUUUCUCCUGUUUAACUUCAGCUAAUUGAUUAUAUGAUCUGUAAUAAAUUAAUAUAGGAUUAAGACAGAAUUACGUCAGCAAUCAAUCAAGCAUUCAUAUAAAGGCUAAACCUACCUUAAAGCCCUUUGGUACAUGAGGGCUUGUGCAGUUCUUCUGUCUUCAGGGAGAGACACUCUACCUUUACUCACAUCCUUGAGGCGACUCACGGAAGAGCCUUUGAGAGAAGAACAACUGAUUGGACAUACAAUGCUAGAUUCUCAACUGAUAGAAAAACCUUCACUAUCAGAUUUCAACCUGACUGGGUGUGAAGAUGGGUGUUUAUAAGGAACAUACCUGUAGAAGGUUUCUGAGCUAUUUUGACUUGUGAAUUUCCGGUGACACGAACUCUGUUCUUUAUUUCUUUCUGUCUCUGAGUGGAUCUCUUGAUAAAUUUUUUUUUUUCUUUUUAAAAAUGCUUCUUGUAAGCUCUCUGGUAUAGCUGUGAACUCUGGAAGGGUUUCUGUUUGAAAAAAAAGAUCCUUGGAACUGUGCCAAAUGUUUCACCUCACUUUAGCUUAUAAGAUGGUGGGGUUCCUACUUUCCUCCUGCUACCCAAAGAGGCAGGUAGAGCUCCCACUGACAGCCCGUCCUCCCUCCCCGCCCCCCAAGUACAUGUUCAAGCCAUACCUGCAGGCUGUGUUAACUUCUCCCCAGCAAGCUCUGAUACAGGUGGACAAUCUGUGGUUUCUGUUUCUGGUACAAGAGGCAGAAAUUGACUCACCUAAUGAGAAAGUCAUAUUUGAGUUUACCGCUUAAAAUUAUACAUGCAUAGUUUUUGUUCUUUCUCAGUACUUGAUGUUACAAUAACCCAAAACCUGCUUUUUUGGAAGGAGCCAAAAGCUUUGCUCUUCAUUCUGGCUAUAUGACUUUAAUCUCUGCCCUCUAUUUUUCAUUGAACCAUUAAGAUACUUGACAAUUCCAUUACCCCCAAGUAUAUAGACAAUAUGACCAUCAAAACAAGGACUGUUUUGUGUGAUGAAGUUAAACUAUUCGUGUACAUACUGGAGAUGUGUUUUCGUAUCUGCCUGUGGAACUUUAUAAAGACCUAAGCACGCUCUGAAGUUUGGAUCAGUGCUCAAGUCCUCAGUGGGAGAGAACACAUUUAGGUGUACAUUCAAUUCACUGGCACAAUGACAGACUGGCUCCCAUUUUCACAGUACUUUGUGCUGUCCUCGCACCUUUUAGCUGCCAUCAUCAGCUUUAGGACUACUGAAUUUUCUGGGAAGGACAGGCAGCAUUAACUAUUCCUGUUGAGAUGUUCAUUACCUCAUUGGAUUCACUGCUUGGCUACUAUCCUUGUCAGUAAAGACACUUACCAGUUAAUGGGUUCUGUAGUGACUUAUCAGUAUCUUAGACUGAUAGAAAUUCCCUUUUAAGUAGGUGUCAGAACUAUUAUAAAUUUAUUUCUGCCAUAAGCAAGUUCUCCAAGUUAGGUGUAAGCUCUGGGAAAAGGCUGGUUGAAUUAAAAAUGUACUUUUCGCCUUUUUCUUCACAUGUAAAAUUGAGUUGCGGAGAUUAACCCAAAAGGCAUGGCUCUUGGCACAACAGUAAAUGUUUAAAAAUACAUUGAUAGUGUUCCUCUUCUGUACCAAGCAGCAAGUGAGGAUGUCUUAAGCAUUUCUCUAGGUUUAGUUACAGUUCUGUUAAUCACUGUGCUAACCAGAGUCCUAACUAAAUCAGAAUUAAAUCCAAGGCAGAAUUCCCUUCUAAGAAUUAAAAGCAGUUCAUUCUCAUUUGAGCCCCUGCUCAAAACUUGUAUUUCCACUCUAGAUAGACUAAAUCAGAAUCUACAGUUUAACAAGAUCCCCAGGUGACACUUGUAUAAAUAUAUUUUGAGACCUGCUAGGACUGGCCCCUAACCAGCAGCACUGGGGUCACCUGGGAACUUGUUAGAAUGCAGAUCAUCAGCAGGAGCCUGAGCCAGAACAGACCUUUCAAAGCCCUGAGUACCACCCAGGUGACAAUCAGAUGGUCUGCUUGGAGCGGAGUGGCGUGCAAAGAAUGCGCAGGGAAUGUUGAAAAUCACUAUUGUCUUACUCUUUGCAGUUUUAUUGUAAUUUGAAACACAUUCAAGUUCAAAAGAAACUUCCAAAGUUACAGCACUUUAUUUUCACAAACACAUCAGCUCAACUCUGGAUUUCCUUCUAGAGUCUUCUGCCUCUCAUAGCUUUUAUCUGAUUCUUUGGAUCAAAGUAUCUCAUUGGAGACUGCCAAGCAUGAGUACCAACCCAAGCCUUCAACACCGACUAAUAUCUAUACUAUUUGGUACAAAAUGAUGCUUUCAUGAGGUUGUUGGGGCAGAAAAGGGGGGGGCGGGCGGAGCCUCCUUUACUGUUUUUCCUAAUUCUUCACUCUAGGUUGCUAAAUAAACGAGGUAUAUAAAUUUACCUGAAAACAGCUUUUUGCCCCGGUCUCGCUCCUUUCUUCUAGAGUUAAGUUUUCAAAAUCUGUUUCAGCAAUACUGAUAUCACUGGUGCUUACUAAAGUAAGUUCUGGCUCUUCCAUUAUACCAUGGCCAGACUCUGUCUCCUGUGCAGCACAAUUAAAAAGGAAACCAUGUCAGAAAAUAAAACUUGAAAAUGUGAAAAAUGUAACUUGGCAAUUAGGCAAGAUAAUCAGGUAAAACAAGAACUAUGUUCCAUGUUUGAGUUUUGCAGGGAAAAUUUUACUUUCCUAAAGAGGAAUAUUUACAUGACAAUAAAUAUAAACAACCCCACCAAGCUGUGAAUUUUAAUCUAAUGGUAUACCUUCACAAUGUAUACACGAAAAAGAAAAAAACAGUUGCUGCCAUUUCAGUGGCUGAUUUUUCCGAAGUAGAUUGCCAGGACUUUCUUCCAAGGUGCCUCUGGUGGGCUCAAACCUCCAACCUUUUGGUUAGCAGCCAACCUCAUGGCACUGCACUAAACACCUAUUUCAAUAAUGGAUUAAUUCAGUGGAGUGCUAUGAGGUUCAACCCGGAAAGGGUUGAAUAAAGCAUAGGCCAAGCCAUCAUUUCUCUGGGAAGCUGGAAAAGGGUAUCUGAAUUGGAAGGCAAGGUCUUUUGUAAAAUUCUCUUAGAGGUCAGCUUUCACUUAAGAGUUUUCAUUUCAUUAGAGAUUGCCAAAGACCACAAGCUUCAAAGUCUCAAUGGAGAUUGAGCUUUGUUGCUUUUCCUGAACUUUGCUUCAAAAUAGUCUUUCCUAUAAUGAACUUUUUUUUUUUUAUAUAAUGAACUUAAAUGCUAGCAAUACAACACAGAUUUCACUUACCCAAACUGGAACAGAGCUCUGUACUGAAAAUGACCCAGAACUUAGAAAGAGCUCUGAUGGCGCUGGUUGAGAUAGGCUUCUUAGGAUUUCUGGAGUUUCCCUUUUAGUUGAAUUCUCAAAAUAUUUUUCAUUUUGCAUGGUUAAUGAAUGGGGUAUCUGAAUUAAAGUUCCCAUUUCCACUGUUCUUACACAUAAUUGAGAGUCAGUUUCCUCUGCAUGUGGUUUUAUGGCUAAAACCCCACCAGCUUCAUUUUUAUCAUCUUUCAUGAGACCUCGAUUCUCUAACAUUGUGUCAAGCUCUCUUUGAGAUAGUCCUUCAAAGCACAGUUUUUUUUUUCUGUCUUCUGGUUGGUCUUUUAUUGAGCACUCACUAGAGGCAGAAUCACAUGGAGUGCUAUGUUGUACAUUUAGCUGACUAAAUACACUAACUGGAUCAGAUGAAAUUAGCAAAUUUUCUAGAGAGACUGGAAAAUGAACACCUUUUUUCUUAAUUUGUAAUACUUCUUCAGAGGGGUGGUUCUGAUUUCCCAUGCCUUGUGAAGAAUUUCUUGCUUCAAUGCUAAAAAUACUUGGUAGAUCUGCAUGCUGGCUCCCCUCCUGAGAAGAAAAUUCUGGCAGAAGCUGGUAGAAAGAUUGUUCAGAUCCUGCAUUAAAAAGUUUAAGAAGUCAGUUAAUCAUUUUUUGUUGUAAUAAUGGAUACAGAUAUAGUCUUUACAACUUUGUGAGUAAAUUAAAAAUAAUAAAUCGAUCUUCAGACUUAUAUAUUAAAAUGUUUAUAGUAAGGUUACUCCCUGCAAUUUUAGGAGUGAAAGCUGAUGGAAAUAAAAAUUAAUAGAAAGCUGAAGGACAGUCACAGUGAUCUUGAAACAAUUCUGUACCAUGUAUUUUUUCCUAUUUCAUAAAGACAGUUUGGCUCUUACACACUGUGGUAACCUUUUUCUCCUCUAACAACUACAUGUUGAUUUUACAAGAGAGACUUAGAAUAAAAAGUGCAUGUGUAUCUCACAUCUACAGAUACGUUUGCACAGAAAGUUCUAGAAGGAAACUUAAGUUGUUAACUGAUCACCUCAACUAUGGUAGGGAAAUUGAAAAGCAAGAGGCAGAACUUUUGUUUUUUAUUUCAGUGUUGUAAAAAAUGCAGACUGGGCCUAUGUUACUUCUGUUGUUUAAAUACGUAAGUACAGAGUCAAAGAGACAUAACUUGUACCACUGGGGGCAGAAGAUGGGUAGAAAUAAACUAGGAGCUGCUAAGCACAGUUUCCAAGAGAAGUGGAUGUAAAGAACCAUGAAACAAAAAUGUAUUGGGUUUUAUUUAACUUUUUCUAAGUUGUUCAUACAUACCCUCAGUAACAUUUUCUGUCAUAAAACUCUGAGCUGCAACACGUGCCGAGGUAGGGUCAAGUGGCAGGUCCAGACUCUUAAGAGAAGAAUGCAGGUUCCCCCUUGGUGCUGGAAAAGAAACUGUGCUUUUGGAUGAUACAGUAGCAUGUUGGCUUUCAGAUGAAGACUCUGAGCCCUAGCAAAAAACGAGAAUGGCUGAAAUAUUAAGAUAUGUAUCAUUAUUAAUUGAAUCAAUAAUCACUAUAUUCCUUUGAUAAUAUUUUUCCUUAGUUACCACCUUACUAUCAUAGUAACGAUUUGCUUAUUCAAACCCAAUUCUUCCUUUUCAUUCAAUAUGAAAGAGAAUUUUUAGAAAAAUAUUAUUUAGAAGUUUUGAACAGCUUCUGCCAGAAUUUUCUUCUCAGGAGGGAAGCCAGCAUACAGAUUCUACCAAGUAUUUUUAGCACUGAAGCAAGAAAUUCUUCACAAGGCAUGGAAAAUCAGAACUACCCUGCUGAAGAAGUUUUAUAAAUUAAGAAAAAAGGUGUUCAUUUUCCAGUCUCCCUAGAAAAUUUGCUAAGUUCAUCUAAUGAAAAUGUACAGCACAGCACUCCCUGUGACUCUACCUCUAGUGGGUGCUCAAAUUGUGAAUUAAUCAAAACUAGUAGGUUUAGAACAUGAGAUCAUUUUCCGAUUAACAGGAACUAGGAAUAGAGUAGCCUGGAACGUCAGGCUGUGGAAACAGGAAGAUCCAGGCUUGAAUCUCAGCUCCUUCACUGUGUAGGAAGAGAUUUUUUAAAUGUUGCAAAAUCAUAUUUUCUGAACUAUUCAAGGCAGAAUUCCAUUAAAGUAAACAAAUGAACAAAUACUCAACAAAAACUAACAAUAAAAACAAGGGCGAACCCUCCAGAGAUGAUAUCUACUAGCUGGAAAUAAGGCUGAUAAGACAAAAUCCUAAUGACGCUGUCCUCUACCUUGGUUUCACAUUAGAAUCACAUAGGGAGCUUUAAAAAAAGAAAAAACAAAACUGGAUACCCGAACAUUCCCAGAGAGUCUGCUUUCACUGAUGUGGGUAGUCUGGGCACUGGAAUUUUAAAAAGCUUACCACGUGAUUCUAAUAGGCAGCCAAGACUAAGAACCCUAGUUCUAAUACAAGAAAACACUUAAAACUAUUCUUGGAAAUUCACUGCAAUGGAGAAUCUACUCUACCAUACCUUGUAAAAGUCUCUGCUGUCUUGAGAAAUCCCAGAGAAUGAGGAUAACAAAUCAGAGUCUAGAUGUGGUUCUAAGGGUUUAAAGAGCUGAUGAUGCAAAUUUGGAAAAGUGUGUUCCAGUUCUGGGAAGUCAGGGUGAACUGCUGGAACUUUGAAAAAAAAGAUUAAUUUUAAAAUUUAAAAUAAAGCCUUGAAAAUUAGUAUUAAGAAAGUAUUCAUAAAAGCUUUUUAGAUAACUCCAACAAAAUUACUUCUAAUUUUUUCAUUACUGGCAGAUGAUUUCAAAUUAAGUCCUAUCAUGAUUAUUUUCAAGGUAUAAAAAAAUGUGGAUACUCACAGUGACUGACAACUUUGACAAAUAAAUUUCCGUUUCCACCAACCCCCAAAAGUCUCGUGAGGUUAACUAGGAAUAAGAGGUCAAAUCUGACCAUUGCUUUGAUAGAUGCUUUGUGGUUCUCACUUAGCUCACUUCAGGAUCAUGAUUUUUUUAAUGAGUGUUACCAUGGCCAAAGCAAUUUGUUUUAUGUACAUCAUCUCAUUUUAUCUGCAACAUUCCUCUUUUACAGAGUAAAUCAAUUGCCCACUGUCUCAAAGUUAGUAAACAGUCAAACUAGGACUGGAAUCCAGGUGUGUCUGAUUUCUGAGCUCUUAAAUUUAAUCCUGGCAGUAUUCGAUGGCAACAGGGGUUUUUUGUUUUUUUUUUUAUUGCCUCAGCAGUUAUAACUGUGCAAUGGUAACGAAAAAUUUGCUAAUUAAUCUCUUCUACGUGUUCUCUAGCCAGUCUAGUUGGCUCUAGAUCCCCUUUCUCAUUAAAUGCUCUCACUGUUUUCUGUAUAAUAACUGUACUGCAGCAGGCCAUAAAAACAUGAAGUUCAAACAAUCACCAAAACUAAAAGGGAUGAAAAGUUUAAGUUGAACAGACUUAGUUUACAUAAAAACAUUUUUUAUACUUACCCUUAAAAUCUGUUUUUCCAGGCAUCAAAUUUGCUUCAUUUAUGUACUUAUCUAUGAUCUGCUGCACGUGUGUUUGACCAGAUGUUAAUUCUUCUAUCAAAGGCAGUGGAGAUUUGUGAAUGUCAGAAGAGUUCGGCCUUUGAUAAAUAGCUUGUAUUGGAGGAAUGACAGAAUUUAAAAGAUCUGUGUCCUCUUCCUUUCCAGUGGUAGAUUCUUGUUGUCUAUGAUCCACCUGCUCUGCAAAUGACUCUGAAAAUUGAGUUGAAUGGAAGUAUUUCAUUGCCAUGGCCGGGUACUUCCUUAAAGACAUAUUUUGGUAGAGAGUCAUGGUGAUAUGCCAUGGGAUCAGUGCAACCAAGAAAUUUGCUCAGAUUUCCACUGAAUGGGAAAAUGUGACAGCGUGAAUACUUCUCAAAGUGUUGUUAGGGAUCUGUGACUUCCAGCCAUGUUUAGAAUAUGAUAAUGUCCAAUAUUUACUAUUGAGAUUUAAAGAGGCAAUACUUCCUUUCACCAGUAUCGUAACUCAAUUGUUGCUGGUAUUUCAAUUUAUUUACAAACAUUCUGAAUGUUAUUACCUGGAUCCGUAAGGCUCAAAUCUGUGUUUUCACAACUUAGAAGGCUCCCAGUAGAAAUAGUUACUGAAGAUAAUGGCUCAUGAGAAAUCUCUUGUGUUUCAGCCUAAAAAUCAAGGGGAACAUUAGAACAGGAUGUAGGAAGUAAUAUCUAGGGAAAAAAAUGUCACUUAAAUUUAAUAGUGAAACCCCAAAUCAUCACCAUCAGCAAUUAUCAAUUCUGAGCUCAGGUCAAGUGUAGACACCUUCAUAGUUCCAAAGGUCAGUAGCAAACUUUUUCAUCAUUGCUCAGACUGAUAAGCCUUUCACACACAAACACACACACAUUCAACCCUAUUCAUGCAUCAACAAUUUCUCAGUUAUCCACUGUCACCUUUAUUAACACAGAGACACACACACACACAUCAGACAUACUGUAUUAAAUUAUUUUAUACGAUUGCU